GGUGUAUGCUUUGUGUGUAUCUCCAUGUGUGUCUGCCAAUAUGUGCGUAAAGUGUAAACUGUGGUUAGCAUGUUGAUUGUGCUCUUGUAUACAGUAGUGGUAGCGAGCGAGUUGUGCGUAGAGAAACGAACAGUGCGUGUUGCAUUACUACUACAGGGCAUUGCACAUUCAGUCUUUAGAGGUACUGAAAUCCAUUUGGAGGGGUGAACGUGCCCGAGUAAAGUGUGGGUGGAAGACCAUUACACAUGGAAUGCAAUGUAACCUGGCUACAGAGCUAAAUAUUUUGGAAUCAUAUACCCGCCAAUUUCAGACGUCUUGAAGAUUUCUAACUGGGGAUCAUCCCUCGCAGGAAGCUCCAAAAAUCUGGGAGCUCACAAUUUAAAAAAAAUAAUCUGAAUCUUUGUCCCUGAUAGAAGGUAAAGGGAAGUGUGCAGCUCUGGAUUUACAGUUUGGCUAAACAGCACACAGCCAGUGAAUGCUCAAGGGACAGAAAGACGGACAUACACACCAAGAAGAUAUAUAUAUAUAUAUAUAUAUAUAUGUAGGAGUCAUAACAUCAUUUCCAAGGACCAGACUUCCACCAUCUCAGUCUCUGAGGAGAAUACCAACUUCUGAUGCUUGAAAACUUAAAAACGACGAUUGACUACUUUUUUUCUUUUGCAUUGUUGUGGAAUAACUUACACCUACCACGAUUAGGAAUAUUAUAUACUACCAGCCAAAGGAUUGGGACCCAUUCCCCUUUCUACUGCUGCUUUUAUAAAGCUUAUUCUCUCCUUUGGAUUGGAACCGACUAAUAAUUUUUUACAAAUAUGGCAAGAAUUUGUGGAUUAUUACUGUUCAUUGCAAGUGCCCUUGUCGCAAGGACUAUAGCCAUGGGGAUGCAUGGGAUGGGUGAUAGUGAAUGUGACACACCACUAUUUCGCCGCUUUUCAUAUGAAGGUGAGUAUUUCAUACAUCCUCACUACCACAAAUACACCGCUACCAGUACCAUGCAGCAUCAAAAACCUCUUUCUAUUUCACCUUUUAACUCUACACGACGGAGUCGCAUUAUGCCUCAUAUCGUUUGAUUUGAUUUGUAAAGCAUCGUCAUAUCGCAAAUAAAACCAUUAGAAUUUGGAUAGUCUUACCGUCUCUCUCUCUUGGAGUGAAGCCAAAGAAACUGAAUCUAUUCCGAAAUCAAGAAUCGAUGCUGGAAGAUUGCGGAAGAAAUAAAAUUUCAUAUAUUGCAAUCAUCAGUGCAAUAGAAUUGAAAAUUGGGUUUGUUGUUACAAGGAACAUGAGGAUUUACCCUCUUUUCUUCCUUCAAAAAUGUGUCUGAUCUCUCUCUCUCUCUCGUUUCUUUCUUCCAUGUUUGGCCACAAACUAUGAUCCAUUAGCUUUUGAACUUUUGAACAUUUUUCCAUAAACUAUCCAUUAACUUUUGAGACCACAUAAUAACCAAAUAUUUUUCAUGAAAGGUAAUCUUCUAUGCUUCACAAAUAAAAAUUUGCCAAGUUUUUUCUUUAUCUCUUUUGAUCUGUCACUAUCAUGAAAUGUGAUCCUGAGUACAAAGAUUUUGUUCACCAGUAAAAAAGAGAGAGAGCUCAAAAAGAGCCCCUAGCAAGUUCACCUGUUAACUUUGUGAGUUAUUCUUUGGCAUUGCUACAAGGUGAAAAACACUAUUAUCGCAGACAAAAAAAUAUAUAUUGGUAUUACUCUGUGUAGAUUCAGGCUGCAACUCAUUCGAUUCUAUCCACGCUUCAACAGUAUGUUUCAUACUAGGUAAUACCAGUAUUCUUCAUUUCGGUCCAGUAUAUAAUACACAAAUCAAAAUAUUGUUUUGUUGAAUUGUUACAUGGAACUCGCUUUUCUUCAUAUUUCAUUUUUUUUUUACUUAAUGAUGUCAUCCAUCAAGGUUUCUUGACA